GGCUUAGAGUUUGAACAUGGCUCAGGACGAACGCUGGCGGCGUGCCUAACACAUGCAAGUCGAACGGGGCUCUUUGGAUCGAGACUUCGGUCAAGUGAAUCUGAGCUUAGUGGCGGACGGGUGAGUAACGCGUGAGCAACCUGCCUUUCAGAGGGGGACAACAGUUGGAAACGACUGCUAAUACCGCAUAACGUGUCGAGGAGGCAUCUCCUUGACACCAAAGAUUUAUCGCUGAAAGAUGGGCUCGCGUCCGAUUAGCUAGUUGGUGGGGUAACGGCCUACCAAGGCGACGAUCAGUAGCCGGACUGAGAGGUUGAACGGCCACAUUGGGACUGAGAUACGGCCCAGACUCCUACGGGAGGCAGCAGUGGGGAAUAUUGGGCAAUGGGGGCAACCCUGACCCAGCAACGCCGCGUGAAGGAAGAAGGCUUUCGGGUUGUAAACUUCUUUUACCAGGGACGAAGGACGUGACGGUACCUGGAGAAAAAGCCACGGCUAACUACGUGCCAGCAGCCGCGGUAAUACGUAGGUGGCAAGCGUUGUCCGGAUUUACUGGGUGUAAAGGGCGUGUAGGCGGGAGAGCAAGUCAGAUGUGAAAUCUAUGGGCUUAACCCAUAAACUGCAUUUGAAACUGUUCUUCUUGAGUAUCGGAGAGGCAGGCG
rnacentral:rRNA from 1 species